AGACCCGAAACCCGGUGAUCUAGCCAUGGGCAGGUUGAAGGUUGGGUAACACUAACUGGAGGACCGAACCGACUAAUGUUGAAAAAUUAGCGGAUGACUUGUGGCUGGGGGUGAAAGGCCAAUCAAACCGGGAGAUAGCUGGUUCUCCCCGAAAGCUAUUUAGGUAGCGCCUCGUGAAUUCAUCUCCGGGGGUAGAGCACUGUUUCGGCAAGGGGGUCAUCCCGACUUACCAACCCGAUGCAAACUGCGAAUACCGGAGAAUGUUAUCACGGGAGACACACGGCGGGUGCUAACGUCCGUCGUGAAGAGGGAAACAACCCAGACCGCCAGCUAAGGUCCCAAAGUCAUGGUUAAGUGGGAAACGAUGUGGGAAGGCCCAGACAGCCAGGAUGUUGGCUUAGAAGCAGCCAUCAUUUAAAGAAAGCGUAAUAGCUCACUGGUCGAGUCGGCCUGCGCGGAAGAUGUAACGGGGCUAAACAAUGCACCGAAGCUGCGGCAGCGACACUGUGUGUUGUUGGGUAGGGGAGCGUUCUGUAAGCCUGUGAAGGUGUACUGUAAGGUAUGCUGGAGGUAUCAGAAGUG
rnacentral:rRNA from 1 species